UCCCUGGUGGCCUAGUGGUUAAGGAUCUAGCAUUGUCACUGCUGUGGCGUGGGUUUGAUCCCUGGCCUGGGAA
rnacentral:tRNA from 1 species